CAAAAUCUUUGCCGGCUCUUUUUUUCUCCUUCCUAACCCUUCCCCUAAAAACCUGGUUCUUCUCUUCUCAUUCAUCAAGUUUUCUUCACUAACUUUCCCUUUUUGCCAAACAGCCCCAUUUUGUCUCUUCAGUCACCAAAAUUCCAUACAAAUUCCAUCAAUUCCCAGUUCAAGUAGGGUGUCCAAAGACUCUGCUGUGAGUCUCUCUAAGUGGGAAAAUGUUUCUAAUUUUGGUUUCCCAUUUUUGUUUUUAUGAUAUAAGUGGGAACCAUUAUUGUAGUCUUAGAUAGUGGGUUUAUUUGGUUUGCACUGAACAAGGCCUUCUCUUCUUGCUUUUGCCAUUUCCCGAUCUCGCCCAAGGUUGGUGAUGAAAAUUUUAAAGCUCAUUAGUUGAUACUUGCCACUCGCUUUCCUAUAUUUAAAGCAUAAUUCUUUGGACUUGUUGGGGAUCCUAGCAUGGAUAAAGUAGAAGUGAACGAUGUUAAGCCUUUCAUUUUCAAGGUCAACAUUGUCCUUUGGUCUCGCUUGAAGAUUGUACUUGACAUGCAUUAGAAAAUGAAUAAGCCAGAGGACAAUUGGGCCACGGCCUUGGGCGAACAAGAAGAAGAACAAGUAUUAGAAAUAUUGUUGUGUAAAGCCAAAACGAUGUUGUUUACUGCUGGUUCGACUUGUAGUGUUAUUCGGUUCAUGCAGGAUUUGCAAGAAGUGGAGCACUCAGAAAUUUCCACUUUAAUGUUCAAGAAUAUUAACAAUAGGGUGAUAAAAGUGGCCAUGGGAUUUAGCGAACAAGAAGAAGAACAAGUAUUAGAAAUUUUGUCGUCCAAGGCCAAAAUGUGUCAUUUACUGCUGAUCUGACUUGUAGUGUUAUUCGGUUGAUGGAGGAUUCGCAAGAAAUCAAGCGCUCAGGAAUUUCCGCCUUAAUGUUCAAGAAUAUUAACAAUAGGGUGAUAGAAGUCUAUAACCCUAUUGUUAAUAUUCUUGAUCAUUACAGCGGCAAUACUUGAUUACUCGAGCUUCUGCAAAUCUUUCGGGAAUGGAAUAACAUUACUUGGAGGUCUCAUCUUAAAUGGCAUCGUUUUGGCCUUCAAAAACAAAGAAAAACCAUUGUUAUUGUGUCUUUCCAUUCAAUUUUUACAAAGAUUGAAAGUAACUAACAAUGGAAUUUUGAAAGAUUUCUGUUCAAUGUUGAAAUGAAUGCUUUGCAUA